UACGGGGGGGGUAAGCGUUGUUCGGAAUCACUGGGCUUAAAGGGCGCGUAGGCGGGUAUCCAAGUCUAUGGUGAAAUCCGGCAGCUUAACUGUCGAACUGCCGUGGAUACUGGGUAUCUCGAGGGAGGUAGGGGCGUGCGGAACUAUUGGUGGAGCGGUGAAAUGCGUAGAUAUCGGAAGGAACACCAAUGGCGAAGGCAGCGUACUGGGUUUUACCUGACACUGAGAUGCGAAAGCGUGGGGAGCAAACGGGG
rnacentral:rRNA from 1 species